rnacentral:lncRNA from 1 species
UCAUCAAGGAAAACAUAAGGAAAGGCAAUGCAUACUAAUCCUAUAAUGCAAUAAUACAAGAUGCAAGAUCAAAUAUACUAAGACAUAGGAGGGAGCCCGAUUGCUUCGGGAUGGACACCACCCACCUCUUGGCGAUGCCGCGAUAGUAGAAAACUCGACGUUGGGGUUCUUGUACGCCGCUUCAACUCCUCGGGGCGAAGCGAGCCCUCGAGUACCCAAUUCGGCGAUUUCUCCGCACCCGCUCGUAGGAUCGAGAAACCGACUUCGCCGACGCGUUCCGGGAUCUAGCAAUUAGGUUUGCGACCUAACAAAUUAGAUCAAAACCCUAAAUUUCCCAAACUCCCAAAUCCAAGCCCUAGAAUGGCGGCGAGAGGGAAAUCCACGGUGCGAGCUUCAAUUGCGAGCCCGAACCAUCUACUUAUCUCCUCUAGGUUCCAUUUGAACCUAUUCGUACCAUCUCUAAACCAUAAAACCCAAAACCCUAAAAACACCAUUAAAGGGUUGGAGCUUACCUCUAACCUAAGCUUCAAGCUUGAGGGAGAGGGAGAGAAGACGAUCUUCUUCUUCUUCUUAGUCUUCUCCUUCUCUUUCCUCUUCUUUCUUUCCUUCUUCUCCUUCCUCUUCUUCUUCUUCUUCUUCUCUUUCUUUUCUUUUCUUUCCUAGAGAGAGAGAGGAAAAGAGUGUGAGAGAGAGAGAGAGCAGCUGAGAGAGAGUGAGAGGGGUCCCCCACCUCUAAUAAAGGCCAUUUUGCAUAAAAGCCCCUCAACUUUCACCCUAGUGCACUACCCUCACUGGGCAGUUUUCGCGCGGAGGGACCGGUCCCAGCUCGGGGAGACCGGUCCCCGAAGGCUGCCAUUUCGAGCAGAGGGAUUUUCGCGUUCGGGAACCGGUCCUUGCCUGAGAGACCGGUCCCCGGGAGACCGGUCCUUGUCCGAGAGACCGGUUCCCGAGAGCUGCAUUCUCGGGACUUAGCCAAAUUUGGCUAAAUCUCGUCGGGCCAACGUUCGGGAACCGGUCCCUGCCCACCAGGGACCGGUCUCAUCAGAGACCUCCGCAACCCAGCCUGAUGGAACCGGUCCCUCCCUGCCAGGGACCGGUCCCCGAGAGCAUUUCUGCUCCAGUGCAGAUUUUGCACUGGUGCUCCCUCGGACCCUUCCUUAAUGCACUUUAUGCAUUAUAAACGCCUUCGGACUUUCCGAAGCCUACGCACUCGACAACUAGUCGAUUCUAGUCGAAGUCUAAUCCUCGAGUUUCGAGAAUUCACUUCCUUACAGGUUCCCCCUCCCGCAGCGGAAAGAUCCUUGACCACGGGUGUACGCAGCUCUGGGCGACCCGUUGGGCAACAAGAUUGUGGAUUGAAGGUUGAGGUCCAAGUGAGGAUUCCUCCACCUCGAGCCAGGCAGAGCGCGGACUAUCCGCAGUUGAUUGACUCGAGGCCGAGUCGGGUGGCUAGCUUGAAUAAGGUAGAUGGAACCUUAGGGGCUAGUGGUAAUGUGAUGGAUCUAAGGUAAUAGAAACCUUAAAGGUUAGUUGGAUCUGAGCGACAUAGUAAGAUAGAAGUAGAAUCGAGUGAUUUACUUAUGAUAGUUGCAUUAUUG